rnacentral:misc_RNA from 1 species
GUAGGUGAACCUGCGGAAGGAUCAUUACCGAGUAAGGGUCUUCCAGGCCCGACCUCCAACCCUUUGUUUAACCAACCUCGUUGCUUUGGCGGGCCCGCCCUUUGGGGCCGCCGGGGGCCUCGCCGCCCCUGGCCCGUGCCCGCCGGUAGCCAUCUUAAAUUCUGAUAACUGAGCCGUCUGAGUAUAGAUAUAAAUCGUUAAAAACUUUCAACAACGGAUCUCUUGGUUCUG